rnacentral:rRNA from 1 species
GCCAGACUCCUACGGGAGGCAGCAGUGGGGAAUAUUGGGCAGUGGGCGCAAGCCUGACCCAGCAACGCCGCGUGAAGGAAGAAGGCUUUCGGGUUGUAAACUUCUUUUCUCAGGGACGAAUAGAUGACGGUACCUGAGGAAUAAGCCACGGCUAGCUACGUGCCAGCAGCCGCGGUAAUACGUAGGUGGCAAGCGUUAUCCGGAUUUACUGGGUGUAAAGGGCGUGUAGGCGGGGACGCAAGUCAGAUGUGAAAACCACGGGCUCAACCUGUGGCCUGCAUUUGAAACUGUGUUUCUUGAGUACUGGAGAGGCAGACGGAAUUCCUAGUGUAGCGGUGAAAUGCGUAGAUAUUAGGAGGAACACCAGUGGCGAAGGCGGUCUGCUGGACAGCAACUGACGCUGAGGCGCGAAAGCGUGGGGAGCAAACAGGAUUAGAUACCCCGGUA